rnacentral:rRNA from 1 species
UACGUAGGAUGCAAGCGUUGUCCGGAAUUAUUGGGCGUAAAGCGAACGUAGGCGGCUUCUUAAGUUUGGUCUUAAAGACCGGGGCUCAACCCCGGGAAUGGACUGAAUACUGGGAGGCUGGAGGAUGUCAGAGGAAAGUGGAAUUCCCAGUGUAGCGGUGAAAUGCGUAGAUAUUGGGAGGAACACCAGUGGCGAAGGCGGGUCUCUGGGCAGUAACUGACGCUGAGGAGCGAAAGCGUGGGGAGCGAACAGG